UAUGGAGUUGUUGCUGGCCUCUAGGGGCAUGUGCACGCUUCACUAGUCUUUCAACCACCUGUGAACUUUUGAUAGAUCUGUGAAGUCGUCCUUCAAGUCGUCAGACUUGGUUUGCUGGGAUUUAAACGUCUCGGUGUGACAACGCAGUCUAUUUACUUAACACACCCCAAAUGUAUGUCUACGAAUGUCAUUUAAUGGGCCUUGUGCCUAUAAACCAUAAUACAACUUUCAACAACGGAUCUCUUGGCUCUCGCAUCGAUGAAGAACGCAGCGAAAUGCGAUAAGUAAUGUGAAUUGCAGAAUUCAGUGAAUCAUCGAAUCUUUGAACGCACCUUGCGCCCCUUGGUAUUCCGAGGGGCAUGCCUGUUUGAGUGUCAUUAAAUUCUCAAACUCACAUUUAUUUGUGAUGUUUGGAUUGUUGGGGGUUGCUGGCUGUAACAAGUCGGCUCCUCUUAAAUGCAUUAGCAGGACUUCUCAUUGCCUCUGCGCAUGAUGUGAUAAUUAUCACUCAUCAAUAGCACGCAUGAAUAGAGUCCAGCUCUCUAAUCGUCCGCAAGGACAAUUUGACAAUUUGACCUCAAAUCAGGUAGGACUACCCGCUGAACUUAAGCAUAUC
rnacentral:rRNA from 1 species